rfam:Schistosoma mansoni strain Puerto Rico chromosome 2, complete genome
AUCCAGCUGACGAGUCUCAAAUGGGACGAAACUCGCAUCAUGGAU